rnacentral:lncRNA from 1 species
GGGAUUCAGGGUUAGAUCUUGAAAUCUUCAAGAUCAGGCAGUGAAAAACUAAAAUAAAUCAAAAUUUAUCUUAUAAAAUCAAAGAAUCAUUAGAUCUAAGAUCUUAUUACAUGAUUAUUAUAUGACAUUAAAUCAAAAAUUAAAAUAUAAAGAGGAAGAACUACAUGUUGAUCGUAUCAACAUGUUUCUAUACUACAUCUAAUGU